rnacentral:rRNA from 1 species
GACGAACGCUGGCGGCGUGCUUAACACAUGCAAGUCGAACGGAAAGGCCUGCUUUCCCUUGUGGAUUGCGGGUACUCGAGUGGCGAACGGGUGAGUAACACGUGAGUGAUCUGCCCCCAACUUGGGUAUAAGCCUGGGAAACUGGGUCUAAUUCCCGAUAGGACUGCAGGGUGGUGCCUGUGGUGGAAAACGAUUUUCUAGUGGUUGGGGAUGAGCUCGCGGCCUAUCAGCUUGUUGGUGGGGUAAUGGCCUACCAAGGCGGCGACGGGUAGCCGGCCUGAGAGGGGGGACGGCCACAUUGGGACUGAGAUACGGCCCAGACUCCGACGGGAGGCAGCAGUGGGGAAUAUUGCACAAUGGGCGGAAGCCUGAUGCAGCGACGCCGCGUGGGGGAUGACGGCCUUCGGGUUGUAAACUCCUUUCGACCGCGAGGAAGCCACCUGGUUGGAAGGGUGGUGACGGUAGUGGUAGAAGAAGCACCGGCUAACUACGUG